GACGAACGCUGGCGGCGUGCUUAACACAUGCAAGUCGAACGGAAAGGCCCUGCUUUUGUGGGGUGCUCGAGUGGCGAACGGGUGAGUAACACGUGAGUAACCUGCCCUAGACUUUGGGAUAACUUCAGGAAACUGGGGCUAAUACCGUAUAGGAGCUCCUGCUGCAUGGUGGGGGUUGGAAAGUUUCGGCGGGUGGGGAUGGACUCGCGGCUUAUCAGCUUGUUGGUGGGGUAGUGGCUUACCAAGGCAUUGACGGGUAGCCGGCCUGAGAGGGUGACCGGCCACAUUGGGACUGAGAGACGGCCCAGACUCCUACGGGAGGCAGAAGUGGGGAAUAUUGCACAAUGGGCGGAAGCCUGAUGCAGCAACGCCGCGUGCGGGAUGACGGCCUUCGGGUUGUAAACCGCUUUCGCCUGUGACGAAGCGUGAGUGACGGUAAUGAGUAAAGAAGCACCGGCUAACUACGUG
rnacentral:rRNA from 1 species